UACGGAGGGUGCAAGCGUUAAUCGGAAUUACUGGGCGUAAAGCGCGCGUAGGCGGCUGGAUAAGUCGAUUGUGAAAUCCCCGGGCUCAACCUGGGAAUUGCAUUUGUGACUGCACGGCUAGAGUGUGUCAGAGGGGGGUAGAAUUCCACGUGUAGCAGUGAAAUGCGUAGAGAUGUGGAGGAAUACCGAUGGCGAAGGCAGCCCCCUGGGAUAACACUGACGCUCAUGCACGAAAGCGUGGGGAGCAAACAGG
rnacentral:rRNA from 1 species